UAGGGAAUCUUCCGCAAUGGGCGAAAGCCUGACGGAGCAACGCCGCGUGAGUGAUGAAGGUCUUCGGAUCGUAAAACUCUGUUAUCAGGGAAGAACAAAUGUGUAAGUAACUAUGCACGUCUUGACGGUACCUAAUCAGAAAGCCACGGCUAACUACGUGCCAGCAGCCGCGGUAAUACGUAGGUGGCAAGCGUUAUCCGGAAUUAUUGGGCGUAAAGCGCGCGUAGGCGGUUUUUUAAGUCUGAUGUGAAAGCCCACGGCUCAACCGUGGAGGGUCAUUGGAAACUGGAAAACUUGAGUGCAGAAGAGGAAAGUGGAAUUCCAUGUGUAGCGGUGAAAUGCGCAGAGAUAUGGAGGAACACCGGUGGCGAAGGCGACUUUCUGGUCUAUAACUGACGCUGAUGUGCGAAAGCGGGGGGAUCAAACAGG
rnacentral:rRNA from 1 species